CCCUUAGAUGUUCUGGGCCGCACGCGCGCUACACUGAUCGAUUCAACGAGUUUUGAAAUAAAUUUUUGAUUUUUUCAUAUCCUUUGUCGGAAGGCAUGGGUAAUCUUUUAAAUGUCGAUCGUGAUGGGGCUAGAUUCUUGCAAUUAUUAAUCUCCAACGAGGAAUUCCUAGUAAACGCAAGUCAUCAGCUUGCAUUGAUUACGUCCCUGCCCUUUGUACACACCGCCCGUCGCACCUACCGAUUGAAGAGUUAGGUGAAUUGUUUUGAUCGAUAAGAUUUGACUAUGGUCAACUCUCGUUGUGAAAUUCUGUGAAUCUGACUGUUUAGAGGAAGGAAAAGUCGUAACA
rnacentral:rRNA from 1 species